GGUGGCUCAGUGGUAGAGUGCUUGCCUUGCAUGCAGGAGGUCCUGGGUUCGAUUCCUUAGCACCA
rnacentral:tRNA from 1 species